UACGUAGGGGGCAAGCGUUGUCCGGAUUCAUUGGGCGUAAAGAGCGUGUAGGCGGCCAGGUAGGUCGGUUGUGAAAACUGGAGGCUCAACCUUCAGACGUCGACCGAAACCAUCUGGCUAGAGUCCGGGAGAGGAGAGUGGAAUUCCUGGUGUAGCGGUGAAAUGCGCAGAUAUCAGGAAGAACACCCGUGGCGAAGGCGGCUCUCUGGGACGGUACUGACGCUGAGACGCGAAAGCGUGGGGAGCGAACAGG
rnacentral:rRNA from 1 species